UUUAGCUAUAUUAAAAUCAAUGCGCACUGCCCGCUAAAAUGUCACUUGUCAAAGUCAAAAGUAAAAAUUUAGUUUUGGCGGCAACAAACAGGUGAAUUAUUGUUCUUAUUCAGUUUUUAAAUACAUUUUGAAGUUUUGGAUAAGUUUUGGUGUUUUAAGAUGGAAAAAAAAGUACGUUCGAAUAGAAUAAGAGUUCAGUGUUUAUCGUGUGGUUCAGAGUUUGUGAAAGAAUAUAAACCUACACAUGAGAAAAAGAUGCACGGCGGAAAAUGUGUAGCAAUAAAACUAGUAGGCGCUCCAGACAAUCCUUUUGUUUUGGCGGCAAAAAAAAGACGAAAUGAAGAAGUUAGCGAAGGUAGGUAAAAAUACAUACUAAUACAACUAAAUCGCGGGUUUGGCCUUGUAAUGAGGUAAAAAGUAAAGGAGAUGAUAUAGUCAAGAUUGUUUACACCCCUUUUAAAAGAGGGGUGUGCUAAAACCACAAAAUUAUCUAGAUUUUUAUAUUCAUUCAUUAUAUUUAUUCAGUCAUUAAAAAUAAACAAUACUUAAUUAGCAAGCUUAAUUUCGCGAUAAAUUAUUACCUACGUAUUGUAUUGUUUUAGCAUCGUCUAGUUCGAUAGAAAAUAUACUUGAAUUGGCAGUGAAUAAAAGAAAGAGCAAAGAAGAAUCUAAAGAUGUAACAAAUACUAAAAAGCCAAAACAGUUAAUUACCGUUUUUCCGGAAGCUGAACAAAGUAAAGACAUUUUAAUUGAGGAACCUGAAAAUGAAAACAUUGAAAGCUACACAUUUCAGGAAUCAGAACAUGAAACAGGAGAUGAUCACGAACAUUUUUCAGACCGCAUAAGCUCUAACUCUAAGACUCAACUUAAUAGUGAUUCGAUGGAUAACUUAGCUGAUCAGUUAAUAGUGCCUAAUUUCUCAUACGUGAAUCAAAAUCAAAAGGUCUUCAUGAAUCCUUCGGACAAAAAUUCCGAAAAUGACUUCAUCCAAGAACAGGGCGAGAAGGCAUCAUCACAAGGUAACAUUAUUAUUUACUAGAUAAAAAUUAAAAAUUAUAUUUUUCACCUAAAUAAACUAUUUUCUUUUUUAGUGGAGAAUAUUUCUUUGAAUUUUAACGUGAACGAAGAAGAAUUUGAUAAAACAAAGCCUUCCACAAGCCAAAAUAGUCAAGAAGACUUUGACAAUAAUGUGUCAGAUGAAGUAGACCACAAUAAUUGGUUUGAAUGCACUGGCAGUUUUGCUUCAUUAUUAGAUCAUUUAACUAAUGCUAAGAAUUUAUUAACUAAUAUCCAAACUGAUUGUAAUAUAGAUGAAUAUAUUACCAUUAUCCAGAUUUUGGAUAUUACUAAUACCAUUAAAGAAAAAUGUGAAUUAACACGAGUGUCGUGUGAAUCUUAUGUUUCCGUUUUAGAGAAGAAGCGUAGCAUUUACGAAGUAGAUAAACAUGUUAGAGAUAAUAUGAUGAUUCUACAUGACCCCGGCAUAAGACAAGAAAUUAAAACAGACAAAGAGCGAGACUUUCU